rnacentral:lncRNA from 1 species
CAGAGAAGAUGCUGAGUUCCCAGCCGCCACAGCGUUUUUCAGAUCCUUAUUUGAAAGUGUUUUAAACAAGGGACAUCAGAAGCCGCGAUACAAAGCAACCUUUUGAAGUUAAAAACGUUGAAGUCUGAAGUGAUUGCUGAGCUGAGAGCUCCCUUGUGACCCAGAGUUGCAUUUUCUGUAGAGAUAAACUGGCACUUGAAAUCAUAAAAGAGAGAUUUUUUUUUUCUUGAAUUGUUCUGUCCUUCUGCCCAGCUCCAUUUUACACUUCGGAGAAGCAAUGAUACUCCUUAGAAUGGUUCGCAGAGUUCUUGAAUAAAUUAAUACACAGCUCAGAAAACAAACUCACUUUGUUUGUACUUCAGCAUAAAAACAAAAGAGAGCCCAAAAUUGAUUCUAUCUGCAUAACUAAGACCAGUGUUGCUUGGGUGUGUGCAAAUCAAAUGUUUCUUCAUCUUCUUUAAUGAGCUUUCUCACUGAUUUGCAGAAUAUCAGCUGGUUCUUUAUUACACAAUAUAAAAUUUCUGCAAGCC